rnacentral:rRNA from 1 species
UACAGAGGGGGCAAGCGUUGUUCGGAAUUACUGGGCGUAAAGGGCGCGUAGGCGGCCUGUUAAGUCGAACGUGAAAUCCCCGGGCUCAACCCGGGAACUGCGUCCGAUACUGGUAGGCUUGAAUCCGGGAGAGGGAUGCGGAAUUCCAGGUGUAGCGGUGAAAUGCGUAGAGAUGUGGAGGAACACCAGUGGCGAAGGCGGCUUUCUGGUCUGUAACUGACGCUGAGGCGCGAAAGCGUGGGGAGCAAACAGG